GCGAGCUGGUGGGCAGGUGCCGGGCACGCGUUUGCCUGAGGAAACUCCUUCCUCCAUGUGGGGCCACGACGUCGCGAGACGUGGGACGAGAGUUCCGGCGACGGCACAGAAACGAUAUCCCCUCAAGUCCGAUGUGGAUGAGGCGUGGAAGGUCCUCAGAAAUGAGGGCUGAGAUAACCCGCCGACAAGGCUUGUGGAGAGAGUGAGACGGCUGACCCGUGGGGAGCAAGGUCGAAUAGGGGCCCUGUGAAUCCCACAGGAGGGCCCGGGUAGACCGCUUAGCUGAAUCCUGCCUAGAACAGAAGAAGGGUUACGGCCAGCACGC
rnacentral:RNase_P_RNA from 1 species